GCACUAGUAGCUCAGUAUUCAGAGCGUCG
rnacentral:tRNA from 2 species